GAGGAAGGAAUUAUCUGAAGAUAAUACCUGAGAAUCCAAAGGAACAAGACAAGAAGUAUGAAGACAAGAAUUCUACAUGUGCUGAGUGAAGAAAGUUUUCAGAGUAGGCAAUUCAAGCUUGCCUUGCUGUUGUGUUGCAGAAGGAGAUACUCAGGUGAAGGUGAAAGAACACACAGCCAUCUAUAAACUUCAGCAUAAAAGAGCUGAAUAACAACACCAGUGACCAUCAUCGUACCUCCC